AGGCCGCUACCCCAACGGGCAGAGGCGAGGGGAAAAGCAUCGCGCACCCUCGGUCCAGGUUCGAGUCCUGGGCGGUCUA
rnacentral:tRNA from 1 species